UACGUAGGGGGCGAGCGUUGUCCGGAUUUAUUGGGCGUAAAGAGCGUGUAGGCGGCCAGACAGGUCCGUUGUGAAAACUCGAGGCUCAACCUCGAGAUGUCGAUGGAAACCGUCUGGCUAGAGUCCGGAAGAGGAGUGUGGAAUUCCUGGUGUAGCGGUGAAAUGCGCAGAUAUCAGGAAGAACACCUAUGGCGAAGGCAGCACUCUGGGACGGUACUGACGCUGAGACGCGAAAGCGUGGGAGCGAACAGG
rnacentral:rRNA from 1 species